rnacentral:rRNA from 1 species
UACAGAGGGUGCUAGCGUUGUUCGGAAUCAUUGGGCGUAAAGGGUGCGUAGGCGGCUUUGUAAGUCAGUGGUGAAAUACGGUAGCUCAACUAUCGAGGUGCCAUUGAUACUGCGGAGCUUGAGUACAGAUGAGGUAGGCGGAAUUGACGUGUAGCGAUGAAAUGCUUAGAUAUCGUCAAGAACACCUAUAGCGAAGGCAGCUUACUAGCUGUAACUGACGCUGGAGGCACGAAAAGUGUGGGGA